rnacentral:rRNA from 1 species
GACGAACCGUGCGAACGUUGUUCGGAAUCACUGGGCUUAAAGGGCGCGUAGGCGGGCUGACAAGUCUGGGGUGAAAUGCCACGGCUCAACCGUGGAACUGCCUUAGAUACUGUCGGCCUCGAGGAAGGUAGGGGCAUGCGGAACUGUAGGUGGAGCGGUGAAAUGCGUUGAUAUCUACAGGAACUCCGGUGGCGAAGGCGACUUUCUGGCCUGUUCUUGACGCUGAGGCGCGAAAGCUAGGGGAGCAAACGGG